rnacentral:rRNA from 1 species
CUCAAAGAUUAAGCCAUGCAUGUAUAUGUAUAAACGCAUCAAGCGUGAAACCGCGAACGGCUCAUUACAACAGCUAUAAUUUACUUGAUCUUGACCACCCUACUUGGAUAACUGUGGUAAUUCUAGAGCUAAUACAUGCACCGAAGCUUCGACCGUAAGGAAGGAGCGCAUUUAUUAGAACAAAACCAUACAGCUUCGGCUGUCCAAUGUUGACUCAGAAUAACUAAGCUGAUCGCAUGGUCUUGCACCGGCGACGUGUCUUUCAAGUAUCUGCUUUAUCAACUUUCGAUGGUAGUGUCUCUGACUACCAUGGUGAUGACGGAUAACGGAGGAUCAGGGUUCGACUCCGGAGAAGGGGCCUGAGAAAUGGCCACUACGUCUAAGGAUGGCAGCAGGCGCGCAAAUUACCCACUCUCAGCAUGUGGAGGAGGUAGUGACGAGAAAUAACACGACUGUUCUCUUCAGAGGCCAGUCAUUGGAAUGGGUACAAUCUAAACCCUUUAACGAGUAUCUAUGAGAGGGCAAGUCUGGUGCCAGCAGCCGCGGUAAUUCCAGCUCUCAAAAUGCAUAGAAUUAUUGCUGCGGUUAAAAAGCUCGUAGUUGGAUCUCUGUUCGCGUGCCGGUCCAUCCUCGCGGAUGUGCACUGGUGGCGUGGACACAUCUGCAGUGCUCGGCGCGUUGUCCCUCACGGUGAUGGCGCUGUCCGAUGCUGCGAGUUUACUUUGAACAAAUCAGAGUGCUCUAAACAGGCGUUUCGCUUGAAUGAUUGUGCAUGGAAUAAUAGAAGAGGAUUUCGGUCCAAUUUUAUUGGUUUUAUUGGCUGAGAUAAUGGUUAACAGAGACGAACGGGGGCAUUCGUAUUGUCGUGUGAGAGGUGAAAUUCUUGGACCACAGCAAGACGGACUACAGCGAAAGCAUUUGCCAAGAACGUCUUCAUUAAUCAAGAACGAAAGUCAGAGGUUCGAAGGCGAUCAGAUACCGCCCUAGUUCUGACCGUAAACGAUGCCAACUUGCGAUCCGCCGGCGGAAUUUGUCGCCCUGGUGGGGAGCAUCCCGGAAACGAAAGUCUUCCGGUUCCGGGGGAAGUAUGGUUGCAAAGCUGAAACUUAAAGGAAUUGACGGAAGGGCACCACCAGGAGUGGAGCCUGCGGCUUAAUUUGACUCAACACGGGGAAACUCACCCGGCCCGGACACCGUAAGGAUUGACAGAUUGAUAGCUUUUUCAUGAUUCGGUGGAUGGUGGUGCAUGGCCGUUCUUAGUUCGUGGAACGAUUUGUCUGGUUUAUUCCGAUAACGAGCGAGACUCUGGCCUACUAAAUAGUUGGCGCAUUGUCACUGUGUGUACAACUUCUUAGAGGGAUUUUCGGUGUUCAGCCGCACGAAAUUGAGCAAUAACAGGUCUGUGAUGCCCUUAGAUGUCCGGGGCUGCACGCGCGCUACACUGGCAAACGCAACGUGCUUGUCCUUGCGCGAAAGCGCUUGGUAAACCAUUGAAAAUUUGCCGUGAUUGGGAUCGGAAAUUGCAAUUAUUUUCCGUGAACGAGGAAUUCCAAGUAAGUGCGAGUCAUCAACUCGCGUUGAUUACGUCUCUGCCCUUUGUACACACCGCCCGUCGCUGCCCGGGACUGAGUCAUUUCGAGAAACUUGAGGACCGUCGGCUUCGUGGUUUCGGCCGCAUGUUGAUGGAAAUCAAUUUAAUCGCAGUGACUUGAACCGGGCAAAAGUCGUAACAAGGUAGC